UGAGGGCUGGACCGGAAGUUUGGGUUCUGAACAGGAAGUGAGGGCUGGACCGGAAGUGAAUGCGUAUUCUGACCGGAAGUGGGGUCUGAACCGGAAGUUGGUCCCCGCUGACCGGAAGGAGCCUCCAUCACCGCACAGCGCCAUGGAGAGCGGAGAGCAGAGUGAGGGCACGGCCCUGCGCCACGUCCCUGUGUCCCCAUGUCUCCAUGUCCCCACGUGUCCCCUCCCCACAGGACCCUCCCGUGGCGGUGACACGGAGUUGCCCACCCCACAGCCACCGGGUACAUGCGCGUCCCCUCCGCGUCCCCAGGCUGUCCCGUGUCCCUGCACGUCCCCACGUGUCCCCUCCCCCCCCACACACAGGGGCUCCACAGGUGGAGGCGCUGCUGGGACAGAUCCAUGCUCUGCACCGGGGUGAGCGACGUGGCCCCGUGUCCCUGUGACGUCCCCACCAUGUCCCCGUGUCCCCGCCAUCUCCCCAUGAUGCCCCCAUGUCAUCACCCCAUGUCCCCACAGCAUCCCCACACCUCCGUGUCCCCAUGAUGUCCCCAUCUCCCCCCAUGUCCCCAUGUCCUCAUGAUGUCCCCAUGUCCACACCAUGUCCCCAUCCCCCCCAUGUCCCCAUGCCCCCCCCAUGUCCCCAUCUCACCAUAUACCCCCAUGUCCCCAUGAUGUCCCCAUGUCCCCACCACGUCCCCAUGUCCCCACAGUGCCCCCACACCUCCAUGUCCCCAUGGUGUCCCCGUGUCCCCAUCACGUCCCCAUGUCCCUGUGUCCCCAUCAUGUCCCUAUGUCCCCAUGUCCCCCCCAUCUCCCCAUGUCCUCGUGUCCCCAUGUCCCCAUGAUGUCCCCAUGUCCUCACAGUGUCCCCACAUCUCCAUGUCCCCAUGAUGUCCCCAUGUCCCCCCCGUGUCCCCCUGUCCCCCCCAUGUCCCCAUGUCCCCCUGUCCCCGGUGGCGCUGUGGUGGCGGUGCUGUGCUCAGGCUGCCAGGCUGGGGCGCAGGAGCUGGCACGGACACAGGAGAGGAGCGAGGAGAUGAGACAGCACCUGGAACAGCUGGAGGAGCGGCAGGCGGAGCUGCAGGCGCUGUGGCAGCAGCAGCAGGGUGCGUGUCACCCGCGUGUGUCACCCGUGUCACCCCCCCGUGUCACCUCCCCCUGUGUCACCCCACUGUGUCCAGCCCCCCCGUGUCACCCCCCCAUGUCACCUCGUGUCACCCCUCUGUGUCACCCCGUGUCUCCCCGUGUCACCCUAUGUCCCGUUGUGUCACCCUGUGUCACCCUCUGUGUCACCCGUUGCGUCACCCUGUCACCCCCCAUGUCAUGUUGUGUCACCCCUCUGCGCCACCCUGUCAUGUUGUGUCACCCUGUGUCACGUUAUGUCACCCACUGUGUCACCCCAUGUCACCCCGUGUCACCCUGCGUCGCCCCCAUGUCACCUUGUGUCACUCCUCUGUGUCACCCUAUUUCACAUUGUGUCACCCCGUGCCAUCCCCCCGUGUCACCCUGCGUCACCCCCAUGUCACCCUGGGUCACCCCUCUGUGUCACCCUAUGUCACAUUGUGUCACCGCCAUGUCAUCCUUCGUCACCUUGUGUCACCCUAUGUCACCCCGUGUCACAUUGUGUCACCCCCUCGUGUCACCUCGUGUCACCCCUCUCUGUUCACCCCGUGUCACCCUGCGUCACCCCCAUGUCACCCUGUGUCAUGCUAUGUCACCCCGUGUCACCCCUUGUCACCCUGUGUCACGUUGUGUCUCCCUGUGUCACCCCCCAUGUCACCCUGUCACCCCUCUAUGUCACCCUAUGUCACGUUGUAUCACCCCCAUGUCACCGUGUCACCCCCCAUGUCACCUUGUGUCACCUCACUGUGACACCCUGUGUCACCCUGUCACCCCUCUGUGUCACCCUAUGUCACAUUGUGUCACCCGUGUCACCCUAUGUCACGUUGUGUCACCCUGUGUCACCCUAUGUCACGUUGUGUCACCCUGUGUCACCCGUCUGUGUCACCCUUUGUCAGGUUGUGUCACCCUCAUGUCAUCCUUUGUCACCUUGUGUCACCCUGUGUCACCCCCCACGUCACCUCGUGUCACCCCUGUGUCACCCUGUGUCACAUUGUGUCACCCCAUGUCACUCCCCCGUGUCACCUCGUGUCACCCCUCUGUGUUCACUCAGUGUCACCCUAUGUCACGUUGUGUCACCCUGUGUCAUGUUGUGUCACCCCCUGUGUCACCCCAUGUCACCUUGUGUCACCCCUCUGUAUCACGUUGUGUCACCCCCUGUGUCACCAAGUCACAUUAUGUCACUCUGUGUCACCCCUCUGUGUCACGUUGUGUCACCCCGUGUCACCCCGUGUCACAUUAUGUCACUCUGUGCCACCCCUCUGUGUCACGUUGUGUCACCCCAUGUCACCCUGUGUCAGGUUGUAUCACCCUGUCACCCCCCCGUGUCACCUCGUGUCACCCCUCUGCGUUCACCCCGUGUCACCCUCCAUCACCCCCAUGUCAUCCUUUGUCAUCGUGUCACCCUUUGUCAUGUUGUGUCACCCUGUGUCACCCCCCGCGUCACCUUUUGUCACCGUGUCGCUCCUCUGUCACCCCACUGUGUUCACCCCGUGUCACCCUGUGUCACCCCCUUGUGUCACCCCCUCGUUUCACCCUUUGUUGCCCCAUGUCACUCCCGUAUCACCCUUUGUCACCUUGUGUCACCCCAUGUCACCCUCCUGUGUCACCGUGUCACCUUUUGUCACCCUGUGUCACUCCCUCUUGUCACCCUUUGUCACCUUGUGUCACCCCUUGUCACCUCCUGUGUCACCCGUGUCACCUUUUGACACCCUGUGUCAUCUCCCCUUGUCACCCUUUGUCACCUUCUGUCACCCCAUGUCACCCCACUGCUCACCCCCCAUGUCACCCCUCUGUGCCACCCCCCCGUCACCCCUUGUCACCUUGUGUCACUCUGUGUCACUCCCCUGUGUCACCGUCUUACUAUUUGUCACCCUUUGUCACCCCGUGCCACCCCUGUUUCACCCUUUGUCACCCUGUGUCACUCCCCCAUGUCCCCCCAUGUCACCUUGGUGUCACCCCACAGAGGUGCUGCGCGUGGCACGGUCACGCUGGCAGGAGGUGGAGGCUGAAGGACAAAGGUCAGUGGGGGGGGCAGCGACCUCUGACCUCUGUCCCCAACCUCUGA
rnacentral:lncRNA from 1 species